AAAAAAAAUAAUAAUCCGAGUAGCGUUAACCGCGGAGGAGAGGAGCCGCCAGCCCCGCCGCCGCCCGCUGGAGAUGAAGCGCUUCUUCCAGCCCGUGCCCAAGGACGGCUCCCCGGCUAAGAAGAGGCCCACAGGCGCUACCGACUCAGGCAAUGCCCCCGCCGCGGCCGGCGCCGGCGGGGAGGAGGGGAGCCCCGGCGAGGAGCCGCGCAAGUUCCUGACGUGGAACGCCAACAGCCUGCUCCUUCGGAUGAAGAGCGACUGGCCCGCUUUCUCUCAGUUCGUCGCUUGCCUCGAUCCCGACGUCAUCUGCAUCCAGGAGGUACGGAUGCCGGCGGCUGGUUUAAAAGGGGCACCUAAAAAUCCUAGCGAACUAAAAGAUGACACAAGCUCGUCACGGGACGAAAAGCAGAUAGUUUUGCGUGCUUUGUCGAGUUCCCCUUUCAAAGACUACCGUGUCUGGUGGUCUCUUUCAGAUUCAAAAUAUGCAGGAACAGCUAUGUUUAUAAAGAAAAAGUUUGAACCUAAGAAGGUGUCUUUUAACCUCGAUAGAACGUCUUCCAAGCAUGAAAUGGAUGGGCGUGUUAUAAUUGUGGAAUUUGAAUCAUUUUUCGUACUAAACACUUAUGCUCCAAACAAUGGAUGGAAGGAGGAAGAAAAAUCAUUUCAAAGGAGACGUAAGUGGGACAAGAGAAUGCUAGAAUUUGUUCAACAUGUAGACAAACCCUUAAUCUGGUGUGGCGACUUGAACGUCAGCCAUGAAGAAAUCGAUGUCAGCCAUCCUGAUUUUUUUAUCAGUGCUAAGCUGAAUGGAUAUACCCCGCCAAAUAAAGAGGACUGUGGACAGCCAGGAUUCACCCUAGCAGAGAGGCAUCGAUUUUGCAACAUAUUGUCCCAAGGAAAGCUGAUAGAUGCUUAUAGACACCUGCAUAAAGAAAAAGAUAUGGACAGUGGCUUCUCCUGGUCCGGUCAUCCAAUUGGCAAGCGACGCCAAGGCGUCCAGGUGACUUCCCAAUGGAGGCGUCCUGCCCGCCACGCCGUUCCUGCGUAUGGCGUCGCCUUGCGCGGAAAGGCGUCGCCAAGGCGUCGGGUGGACGCCAAGGCGACCUCCCAAGUCCAAGGCGGGUCCGCGCGGGGGAAAAAGCAAGCGCACAGCAGGCCCCUUAGCGCGCGCAGGGGAAAAAGCAGGCAUCUUGCGCGCGGGAAGGGUGAGGGAUCUGCGCGCGCGGGAAGGGAGAGGUAGGGCGCGGGAGAAGGGAGCUGCGCGCGCGGGAAAUCGCGCCUAUACUCCCGCGCAGGCGUGCCCCAUCGCUGCAGGCCUGCAGCGCGCAAGAGGAAAGAGAGGGGAGGGGGAAGAGAAGAGGGCGUGCUGCAGGCCAGCCGAUUUGAGUUUGCUGCUGCUGCUCCAUGCGACCACGCCUCCACGACCUCCACCUGCGCUCCGCCCGUCCGCCGAUUCGAGUCUGUCGGUCCACCAAUUGGAGCUUGCGCUCUGCUCGUCCGCCGAUUGGAGACCUGCAGAUCGGCGCCUCUGACCUAUGAAGCCCUGCCCUCCAUCGAUUUCGUGGCUGCUUGCUUGCUUCCUCUGCUCCGCCUCCUUGCCUGAGUGCCUUCAUCCCUUCCUUUCCUUCACGUCAGCUCAGAGCCUCGGAGGUAUGUCUUGUCCAGUUCUGCCCCCUUCUUUGCUCUUCCUUCACUGCUCUGUUCUCCUUCCUAUAUAGCCAUAGCACUGCUCUGUUCUGCUUUGUGCUUUCUUUAUAGCCAAAACUUGCAGCAACAAGGUAUAUGUUUCUAUCACUCCAUCUAGGUUAAGGUAUGUGUAUGGCGUCGCCUCGCCGCACGCCAUACUCGCCUAGGCGUCUGGAAGGGGGUGAGUCGCCUCGCCUCGCCUUACCGCCGUACCGAGGAAAGAGAAUGAGGAUUGACUAUUUCAUUGUUUCAGAACAAUUGAAGGACAGAAUAAUUUCAUGUGAAAUGCAUGGCCGUGGAAUUGAAUUAGAAGGAUUCUAUGGAAGUGACCACUGCCCUGUUUCCCUUGAGCUCUCCAAAGCAGCAACGGAAGCGCCAGAACCCCCCAGGCCAUCCAGCUAAAAUUUGUGUGCUGCUAUCUUGACCUGUCACUCGUCAUGGUAGUUAUUAGGGUUGUUGAGUAGACUAGUAUUGGGCCCAGAGAUGACCAUUGUUUAGACAUUUUCCUUCAGUAAAUCUGAAUUUGCAAUUCAUGCUCGUGCUGGGAUAUGUUUGUAUUUAUGAUCUAGCAGACUACUAGUACUAAUGCUCGAACACUAGAGCUUAGGUACCAUUGGCCCAUUGCCAUUUAAGCAAUGCAGCUUCGCCAUCUCUGCUAUGAUCUA